rnacentral:lncRNA from 1 species
AAUCAGAAAGGGAGGUGAUGUGUAGCUGGGCAAAUUUAAUUUCACUUUCAGAAUGUAGGAAAUUAAAAAAAUAAAAAGAAUAGAAUAGCAUUGCAUCUGACUUUUGUCCACUAAUUUGUGCAAUUCAGAUUCCAUGUGUUUAUGAUCUUUUUGAUCUAUGAGAGAAAGAAAACAAGUAAAACUAUCAGUGCACACUAUAGCAUGAAAGUGUC